GAUUAAAUGGCUGAAAUAUAGGUAAUAGAUUGUAAAUUUAUUUAUGAGAAAAUCUCUCUUUAAUCA
rnacentral:tRNA from 1 species